rnacentral:lncRNA from 10 species
GCUGCCUGGAGGAGGGGGUGACAGAGGGUGGCUUUGCCUCCCCCACACUUUCAGCAAGAAAUUUCUUUCUGCACAGGGACUUUUCCUGAAAAGGCAGGAACAGCAGAUGGAGAGGGGUGGGGGAUAAGAGGAGGACAGAGAUGGAAGGAGGGGAGGGUCAGAGGAGAGGAGUGGGCAGUCAGGCCUGGGUUUGGAUGGCACGGUUUGUCAAAAUGGAUAUAGUGCCAGGAGGGAAAGGGACUAGCAGGGGAUGACUGAGCAUCCCUCCCUCCAGGCAGCCCGCAGUGGAGCAGGGAUGCAGAGCUGCGGUCAGGCCACCGGUGUCCUCGUCCAUCAAUCGCUAACCAGGGCAGGAUGGGUGAGGAGCAGGACUCUUGCAGGCAGAGAUGAGUUGGGGUCCUCAGGCUGCCCAAGAUCAGGCAACAAGCAAGAAGGAACUGUCAAAAGGGAGAAGAUUCUUCCUUAACACUGAACAUGACUUACAUACCAGCAGCCACCAGGCCAGCUGCCAUUGGGAACGCUAUGACCCUCACAGCCAGCCAAUGAAGUGAAUGGGGUUAUUCCCAAUUCCCAGGCGAGGAAACUGAGGGCCUCGGGGGAUGUGAAGCUGGGAAGAGCAGUGGAGCCCUGGAGCUAUGUCUGGACUUUCCUGCCUCCAAAGCUUCCUCCAACAAAGGAGGAAAGGGGAGCAUCCUGGGCAAGCUCCACAUUCCCAGAACAAAACAACCAAAGAUGCAGCCCACAGGGAUGGGUGAACCAGAGCAUGGCAUCCUGGACACAGGGCUGGACUGAGGAUCAACCACAGGGAUGAAGCCCGGCUCCAGCUUGUCCCCACUGUAUUUGCCAGGAGAAAUCCCUUCUCGACCUGGCCUCCAUUCCCUGUCUGUAAACAGGAUAGCAUCACGCUGGGCGAUGUCUGAGGUUCCUUCCAGCCCCAGUGUUUUAUUUAUCUAGUUUCUGGUGGUAAAAGCCCUGGGCAGGGACUGUAAGCUGUGCCUUCCUGUUUUGUAGGUGAGAAUGUGUUCUCUAAACACCUUUAGCAAGAUGACAUAGGGACCGCGGCCUUCGGGCAGAACUGUGUGUGCUUGGAGGUGGCAAGUGGAGGCACAGAUGUGUUUUCUUCUGGGUGAAGGAGUCUCCACACUCCCUCCAUGAUAGUGCCUGGGGCAUGGGCCUCCCUGGCAGAAUAGCUGGCCCCAGCUGGGGACUCUAGGUCUGCUUUAAAAUGCUCUAGGGCUUCUGGAUGUGCUCAAGGAAUGGGCUUAAAUUCAGAGCAGGGAAGAAAAACAAGCCCAUGGACCAAACAAGUCCUGCACCAUUAGAUCAAGGAGACAUUGCUGUGCUGGAAAACAGGAGUCAUUUGUGAGAUAAAUGUACUGCUGGGAGACUUGACCUUGUUCCACCCGCAAUACCGUGUGUGGUUAUUCAUGGGACUUCUUGGGUAAAUCAGCUGAGCUCAGAGCUGCAAAGAGGCUUAUAGGCCUUCCCAUUGAGCAUGAGAAUGAAUGAGUAAGUGGCUGUAGCCAUAAGCUGUCACUGGUACCAACUGAGAUAUGGUGGAUGCUGGGCCCCUGAGGAGUCACAGUCAGUGGGGAGACAAGGAAUGAGGCUGUUGUGCACUGGGCCAGGUGCAAGAGAAUCGCCACCUCUCACUCUACCAAGCCAGGAGUGGGAUGAAUGGGAAGAACACCAGAGGAGAGGGUGCCUCGUGCUGAUUCCCAGGGCAGGUGGAGACAAGGAGAAACAGCCUGUGCCGAGCCCAACACACACAAGCUUGCCUGCCGAGCCCAAUGCAUGCCAGUGUGCAUCCGGGAAUUCUAUCUGCUUUCUGGCCCUCUCCAGGGUUCCUCCGCAUCCUAUGCAUGAUACAUUGACUUGCCUCCUGGCAUCUGUCUCCUUUAAUGACCAUGCCCUUCUCUAGGAGAGAAAGACAGUCUUUCUCAUCUGUUUCUCGGCACCCAGCACGCAGCCAGGUAGAGCGGAUGACCAGUAAGGUGUGGCUGAAUGGACUUGGUGACUACUCGUGUUACUCAGAGAUUAAGGCACAAGCCCACUAAGAAACCUACGCAGGACAGCCUGACGUGGCUCCCCACCAGGGGCUCCCUAUGAGACGCCGCACUGGAUACAGGCUGGUGGACCCCCGCACGUGUGUUCUGUUCUCAAAUGUCUCCUUCACCACGAAUCACCUGCAUCCUCCCACCAGCUCUUUCUCUGCCCCCUUCUGAGGCUCCUUCAGCAGUUGGCUGCUCCGAAUAUUAAAAAUCCAGGCAGGAAUUUGCCCACAAAUCAGGUAAGCCCUUGUCUCCGCCAAAAGGUCUCUUCUGGUUUUCUUAAUGUCUUACAUCGGGCACGGACCCCAUCAUGCAGGAGAGCUGAAGAGUCAGAGUUAACGAGCAGGUGAACAUCUCUGAGGUAGAUAUCGGCCAUUGCCUUUGGAUGGGUUCUUCAUUUGCCAGAUGCAUGUCUAUCUAUUUAUCGAGAGUCUGUUGUGUGCCAGGCACUGAGAUGGGUGAAAAGACAGUGAAUGACAGAGUUGCUAUCCUCUCGGAGGAGAUUGAUGAGGGCAGCUGACACUCUGGGUGAGUGGUGUGAUGGCAGAAAUCCUAGUGUUUCUGGAGCCCCUAACCCAUCACUGGCAGCUGCUCCCUAUCAGGUGAGAGCUGAGAGGUGACGAAUGCAGUGGGGAAGCGGGGUAGGUAUGAAGGCAUGUGUGUGUGUGUGUGUGUAUAUGUGUGUGUUUGUGUGUGUCUCUGUGAAAGACAGAGAGUGAGGGAGAUUGUAAGAUAUUGUGCUGCUGGCUUUGAAGAUGGGAGAAGAGGCCACAAGCCAAGGAAUUCAGGAGGCCUCUAGAAUGCAAAGAAAGAUUCC